UAACACAGAGAGCUUGCUCUCGGGUGACGAGCGGCGGACGGGUGAGUAAUGUCUGGGAAACUGCCUGAUGGAGGGGGAUAACUACUGGAAACGGUAGCUAAUACCGCAUAACGUCGCAAGACCAAAGAGGGGGACCUUCGGGCCUCUUGCCAUCAGAUGUGCCCAGAUGGGAUUAGCUAGUAGGUGGGGUAACGGCUCACCUAGGCGACGAUCCCUAGCUGGUCUGAGAGGAUGACCAGCCACACUGGAACUGAGACACGGUCCAGACUCCUACGGGAGGCAGCAGUGGGGAAUAUUGCACAAUGGGCGCAAGCCUGAUGCAGCCAUGCCGCGUGUAUGAAAAAGGCCUUCGGGUUGUAAAGUACUUUCAGCGGGGAGGAAGGUGUUGAGGUUAAUAACCUCAUCAAUUGACGUUACCCGCAGAAGAAGCACCGGCUAACUCCGUGCCAGCAGCCGCGGUAAUACGGAGGGUGCAAGCGUUAAUCGGAAUUACUGGGCGUAAAGCGCACG
rnacentral:rRNA from 1 species